CCCUCUCUCUUUUCUUUAGUUUUUUAACCUUAAUCUGCUGAGCAUGAGUUAUCAAUUGAGCAAUAUCCAUAUCCCCAAUCAACAUGGAAGUCCUGCACUCCUUGACUACUAAGUCAGAUACUCUAGUGACAAACUUACUCGUACAAGCUCUGGAAUCCGACAAUAACUCUGGGGCGUACUUAGCUAGUUGGAUGAACUUGAGGCAAUAUUCCUCCACCGAUAUAGAGCCCUGCC
rnacentral:lncRNA from 1 species